rnacentral:rRNA from 1 species
AGUGAACGCUGGCGGUAGGCCUAACACAUGCAAGUCGAACGGCAGCACAGGAGAGCUUGCUCUCUGGGUGGCGAGUGGCGGACGGGUGAGGAAUGCAUCGGAAUCUACUCUUUCGUGGGGGAUAACGUAGGGAAACUUACGCUAAUACCGCAUACGACCUACGGGUGAAAGCCGGGGACCUUCGGGCCUGGCGCGAAUGAAUGAGCCGAUGCCCGAUUAGCUAGUUGGCGGGGUAAGAGCCCACCAAGGCGACGAUCGGUAGCUGGUCUGAGAGGAUGAUCAGCCACACUGGAACUGAGACACGGUCCAGACUCCUACGGGAGGCAGCAGUGGGGAAUAUUGGACAAUGGGCGCAAGCCUGAUCCAGCCAUACCGCGUGGGUGAAGAAGACCUUCGGGUUGUAAAGCCCUUUUGUUGGGAAAGAAAAGCAGUCGGUUAAUACCCGAUUGUUCUGACGGUACCCAAGGAAUAAGCACCGGCUAACUUCGUGCCAGCAGCCGCAGUAACAC